GGGGAUGUAGUUCAGUGAUAGAAUGCCUGCCUAGGGAGCAUGACACCUUGAGUUCAAGUCCCCAGCACCA
rnacentral:tRNA from 1 species